rnacentral:rRNA from 1 species
UACGGAGGGUGCAAGCGUUAUCCGGAUUCACUGGGUUUAAAGGGUGCGUAGGUGGGCAGGUAAGUCAGUGGUGAAAUCUCCGGGCUUAACCCGGAACUGCCGUUGAUACUAUCUGUCUUGAAUGUAGUGGAGGUGAGCGGAAUAUGUCAUGUAGCGGUGAAAUGCUUAGAUAUGACAUAGAACACCCAUUGCGAAGGCAGCUCGCUACACUAUUAUUGACGCUGAGGCACGAAAGCGUGGGGAUCAAACAGG